rnacentral:rRNA from 1 species
CUAGCCGUAAACGAUGGGCACUAGGUGUGGGGGGUCAUCGACUCCCUCCGUGCCGAAGCUAACGCAUUAAGUGCCCCGCCUGGGGAGUACGGCCGCAAGGCUAAAACUCAAAGGAAUUGACGGGGGCCCGCACAAGCAGCGGAGCAUGUGGCUUAAUUCGACGCAACGCGAAGAACCUUACCAGGGCUUGACAUGCAGGGAAAAGCGGCGGAAACGUCGUGUCCGCAAGGGCCCUGCACAGGUGG